GGAAGUAAAAGUCGUAACAAGGUCUCCGUUGGUGAACCAGCGGAGGGAUCAUUACCGAGUUAUUACUCCAAACCCUUUGUGAACCUUACCUUUUUGUUGCUCGGCGCACCGCGGGCCGCGGCUUCGGCCCGUCCCGCAGCGCGCCAGAGGACCCAACUCUUCAAUUUAUAGCGUACCUUCUGAUUUACAAAACAAACAAGUUAAAACUUUCAACAACGGAUCUCUUGGUUCUGGCAUCGAUGAAGAACGCAGCGAAAUGCGAUAAGUAAUGUGAAUUGCAGAAUUCAGUGAAUCAUCGAAUCUUUGAACGCACAUUGCGCCCGGCAGUAAUCUGCCGGGCAUGCCUGUCCGAGCGUCAUUUCACCCCUCGAGCCGCUUUUAGUGGAUCGGUGUUGGGGCACUACGGUAAAACGUAGGCCCUGAAAUGAAGUGGCGGUCCCGCCGCGGUGCCCCCAUGCGUAGUAACGUUUAGUCUCGCAUCGGGUCCCGGCGGAGGCCUGCCGUCAAGCCUAUUUAUUCUCAGAAUAGUUUGACCUCGGAUCAGGUAGGGUUACCCGCUGAACUUAAGCAUAUCAAUAAGCGGAGGA
rnacentral:rRNA from 3 species